rnacentral:rRNA from 1 species
UGCAGUCGACGAUGAAACCGCUUCGGUGGUGGAUUAGUGGCGAACGGGUGAGUAACACGUGGGCAAUCUGCCCUUCACUCUGGGACAAGCCCUGGAAACGGGGUCUAAUACCGGAUAAUACUCCUGCCUGCAUGGGUGGGGGUUGAAAGCUCCGGCGGUGAAGGAUGAGCCCGCGGCCUAUCAGCUUGUUGGUGGGGUAAUGGCCUACCAAGGCGACGACGGGUAGCCGGCCUGAGAGGGCGACCGGCCACACUGGGACUGAGACACGGCCCAGACUCCUACGGGAGGCAGCAGUGGGGAAUAUUGCACAAUGGGCGAAAGCCUGAUGCAGCGACGCCGCGUGAGGGAUGACGGCCUUCGGGUUGUAAACCUCUUUCAGCAGGGAAGAAGCGCAAGUGACGGUACCUGCAGAAGAAGCGCCGGCUAACUACGUGCCAGCAGCCGCGGUAAUACGUAGGGCGCAAGCGUUGUCCGGAAUUAUUGGGCGUAAAGAGCUCGUAGGCGGCUUGUCACGUCGGAUGUGAAAGCCCGGGGCUUAACCCCGGGUCUGCAUUCGAUACGGGCUAGCUAGAGUGUGGUAGGGGAGAUCGGAAUUCCUGGUGUAGCGGUGAAAUGCGCAGAUAUCAGGAGGAACACCGGUGGCGAAGGCGGAUCUCUGGGCCAUUACUGACGCUGAGGAGCGAAAGC